ensembl:lncRNA
CGGAGUUCAUUCUUCGACUGCGUGAACAAGAACCCGGAUUCUGGUAACAUCUUUCCGGCAUCACUUUCAUGUUCACUGUAUUUCAGAGUUUAGAUUAGUGACUGACUCCUGUAGUUGGCGCUCAGUACUUAGCAUGGUGUGUCUGAAAAAUUACAAAGAGCCCAUUGUUGCUUAGACAAGGGAAGGAGUCACCAGAGAUGAAAAUGGAAGACAGGUCAAGAUAGGUUGCCUAGAACCGCAUGAGCCUGGACGUAAUCAGUGGGGGUUAAUGAAUGGAGGUGAAUGAUCAGUAUGUGUUUUGGACAGAGCUGUAUUCCUCGGGCUGCAUUGUCACAUGUGCAUUGGAUGGGGUAGAGACUAGAGAUCUGGGGAUGGGAGCCAGGUUAGUGUAGAAAGGAGACAGCCUGGACAGAUACGACUUUGUCCUAGAACUGAAGGGACCACUGCUGAAGAGGAGAAAUCUCUAAUAACAUAGGUUUCCAUCUGGGCCCAGAGGUUGAAGUAUGAUACUGUCAACUAGAAUGGGCAUACGAGCAGAGGGAUGAGACCAGUCCUGGGGUUGUGUGUAUGAAAUGCUUGAAGGAAGUUUAAGAGGUGGCUCUUGGGACCUGGAAGACCUACAUUCCCUACACAUAGAGGGGGUAGAACUUGGGAACCAGCGGCAAGGUGGGUCUCACAUGAGUAAAAACUCAAAUUCCCCCCAAAAACUCAAAUGGAACCACCCCUGUGGUAUUGCCACUUCUGCUUUCUUCUAGAAGCUAGCGCUGAAGCUGACCUCAGGACUAUCUUAUUUUCCGAAAGAUCUGAACUGCAGAGGGUCAUUCUGCCCUUGAAAAGAAACCAAGAUAAAAGGAAACAGCUCUCAGGAAUUAUAAGCAAAACACAACCAGACACUCACUGCGGAUUGCCCCAUUUUCCACCUCUUUAAUGUUUACUGAAUGCCUGCUAUGUGCAAGAUACUGAUUCUUCCUCUGCUGUGACUUUUGGAUAAUCCAGACUUGAAUUGAGGGGGCAUUGCUGGCUUGAAAAUGAUCCAAGAGCAGAAGAAACACUUCUCAAAAUCAUCCACCAAACAAACAAAAAUUGAGAAACAUAGAUUUUUUGUUUGUUUGUUUUUUCUCUUCAAGAAUGAACCAGGACUCUAACUUUGGAUUUUCAGUAAGUCAUAUAUCCUGUCUACGUAAAGCCUUCCAUUUUCAUCUUUUGAUUCAUCUUAUCUGUAAGAUGAAUUAAUCACACCCUCCUAUGACUUCUCCUUUGGCCACUUAUCAUUCUCAGACUGUCCUGAAUUGAAUUAUUAGGAAGUACAGGCCUUGGAAAUGAAGCCAAGAUAAAAGGAAAAUACUCAAGUUCCCUACUUUCCCUUAGGAAAUAAAGCAG